GACGAAUGCUGGCGGCGUGCUUAACACAUGCAAGUCGAACGGUGUAGCAAUACACAGUGGCGCACGGGUGCGUAACACGUAUGCAACCUACCUUACAUUGGGGGAUAGCCUUUCGAAAGGGAGAUUAAUACCGCAUAAGACAGUAACUAGGCAUCUAGUAGCUGUUAAAGAUUUAUCGAUGUAAGCUGGGCAUGCGUCCAAUUAGUUAGUUGGCGAGGUAAUGGCUCACCAAGACGAUGAUUGGUAGGGGAACUGAGAGGUUAAUCCCCCACACUGGCACUGAGAUACGGGCCAGACUCCUACGGGAGGCAGCAGUAGGGAAUAUUGGGCAAUGGGCGCAAGCCUGACCCAGCCAUGCCGCGUGCAGGAAGAAGGCGUUAUGCGUUGUAAACUGCUUUUAUACAGGAAGAAACGACCCUUGCGAGGGGCAUUGACGGUACUGUAUGAAUAAGCACCGGCUAACUCCGUGCCAGCAGCCGCUGUAACAC
rnacentral:rRNA from 1 species